GAUGAACGCUGGCGGCGUGCCUAAUACAUGCAAGUCGAGCGAACAGACGAGGAGCUUGCUCCUCUGACGUUAGCGGCGGACGGGUGAGUAACACGUGGAUAACCUACCUAUAAGACUGGGAUAACUUCGGGAAACCGGAGCUAAUACCGGAUAAUAUAUUGAACCGCAUGGUUCAAUAGUGAAAGACGGUUUUGCUGUCACUUAUAGAUGGAUCCGCGCCGCAUUAGCUAGUUGGUAAGGUAACGGCUUACCAAGGCAACGAUGCGUAGCCGACCUGAGAGGGUGAUCGGCCACACUGGAACUGAGACACGGUCCAGACUCCCACGGGAGGCAGCAGUAGGGAAUCUUCCGCAAUGGGCGAAAGCCUGACGGAGCAACGCCGCGUGAGUGAUGAAGGUCUUCGGAUCGUAAAACUCUGUUAUUAGGGAAGAACAAAUGUGUAAGUAACUAUGCACGUCUUGACGGUACCUAAUCAGAAAGCCACGGCUAACUACGCG
rnacentral:rRNA from 1 species